rnacentral:misc_RNA from 1 species
AAUUCUCAAAUCUUUUUACCUUUAUUGGUUUGAUUUGGAUUGUGGAAGUUUUGCUGGCUUUUUCAAGUUUGCUCUUCUUAAAUACAUUAGCAAAAGUCUGAUUUGCUUGUCUUUGGUAUAAUAAAUCACUUGUACCACUGACAUCAAACUUUUCAUUAUGAAAUGAGACUUGUGCUUCCAACCGUCUACGAAGACAAAGCUGAAA